GUGGGGAAUAUUGGACAAUGGGCGAAAGCCUGAUCCAGCAAUGCCGCGUGAGUGAUGAAGGCCUUAGGGUUGUAAAGCUCUUUUACCCGGGAAGAUAAUGACUGUACCGGGAGAAUAAGCCCCGGCUAACUCCGUGCCAGCAGCCGCGGUAAUACGGAGGGGGCUAGCGUUGUUCGGAAUUACUGGGCGUAAAGCGCACGUAGGCGGCUUUGUAAGUUAGAGGUGAAAGCCCGGAGCUCAACUCCGGAAUUGCCUUUAAGACUGCAUCGCUAGAAUUGUGGAGAGGUGAGUGGAAUUCCGAGUGUAGAGGUGAAAUUCGUAGAUAUUCGGAAGAACACCAGUGGCGAAGGCGACUCACUGGACACAUAUUGACGCUGAGGUGCGAAAGCGUGGGGAGCAAACAGGAUUAGAUACCCGAGUAGUCC
rnacentral:rRNA from 1 species